rnacentral:rRNA from 1 species
GUCCACGCCGUAAACGAUGUCUACUAGUCGUUGGGAAUCUUAGUAUUCUUGGUGACGAAGUUAACGCGAUAAGUAGACCGCCUGGGGAGUACGGCCGCAAGGUUAAAACUCAAAUGAAUUGACGGGGGCCCGCACAAGCGGUGGAGCAUGUGGUUUAAUUCGAUGCAACGCGAAGAACCUUACCAGGCCUUGACAUCCUUGGAACUUUCUAGAGAUAGAUUGGUGCCUUCGGGAGCCAAGUGA